rnacentral:tRNA from 1 species
UGAUAGGAAGAGGAAUUAAACCUCUGUCUAUGGGGCUACAACCCACCGCUUGAACUCGGCCAUCCUACC